rnacentral:tRNA from 3 species
GGGGAUAUAGCUCAGUUGGCUAGAGCACUUGCUUUGCAAGCAAGGGGUCGUGGGUUCGAAUCCCACUAUCUCCACCA